UGCAUGCCCAAAGCUUUCCACUCUUUCACUCUUACAUGGAAUGUGGUUGUGGACCAAGUCAAAGUAGGAAUUAGUUUAGAUUUCAAAUUUUAUGAGAUAGAAUUUUAGGAAACCAAAACUCUUUCCUUAUGGCACUGAUUUUAAUCAGAUUUUUUUUGAGAUUUUUAUAGAUUUUAUAGAACAUAUUGUGCACCCUUUGCUG
rnacentral:lncRNA from 1 species